rnacentral:rRNA from 1 species
GCUUAGUACGGCGAGUGAGCGGCAAAAGCUCAAAUUUGAAAUCUGGUACCUUCGGUGCCCGAGUUGUAAUUUGGAGAGGGCAACUUUGGGGCCGUUCCUUGUCUAUGUUCCUUGGAACAGGACGUCAUAGAGGGUGAGAAUCCCGUGUGGCGAGGAGUGCGGUUCUUUGUAAAGUGCCUUCGAAGAGUCGAGUUGUUUGGGAAUGCAGCUCUAAGUGGGUGGUAAAUUCCAUCUAAAGCUAAAUAUUGGCGAGAGACCGAUAGCGAACAAGUACAGUGAUGGAAAGAUGAAAAGAACUUUGAAAAGAGAGUGAAAAAGUACGUGAAAUUGUUGAAAGGGAAGGGCAUUUGAUCAGACAUGGUGUUUUGUGCCCUCUGCUCCUUGUGGGUAGGGGAAUCUCGCAUUUCACUGGGCCAGCAUCAGUUUUGGUGGCAGGAUAAAUCCAUAGGAAUGUAGCUUGCCUCGGUAAGUAUUAUAGCCUGUGGGAAUACUGCCAGCUGGGACUGAGGACUGCGACGUAAGUCAAGGAUGCUGGCAUAAUGGUUAUAUGCCGCCCGUCUUG